CCUACAUGUUCCCUACUCUUUAGCUUUAAGGACUUGGUGUUGAUUGAUAGUACCCUUCCCCCUGAGUCAGCUCCCAGGCAUGUGAAGGAGAGGCGGGUGGGGUUUAUACAAAUUCCAUUUCCCAACUUUCUCACAGCUAAUCUAGAUUAGUCUUGGGCUUCUGAACAGUGCAAACAAGUCCUCAGGGAAAAGAAUAUGUAACUUAUAAUUUUCUGUUAGGGGGUGAAGGAUGAAGAAACAGUAAGGAAACAAACAAUAAAUUGAGGAUAAAAACUGGGGUUCUGGAGACGAUGCGAGUAAUCCAGGAAAGUUUGAACUCUCAGAUCUGUCAGUUAACAGCGUUAUAAAUGAAGAACUGAACAGAGCUCUGGUUUGGACAGAUCAAACAGUAUGGUUUCAUGUUUAUGUGUCAAAAAUAUAACUCCUUCCUCUCUGUGGAUGUCUUUAUCCUUGUCUUCUCACCCCAGCCGAGGAUGCAGAGAGAUGCACACAAACACCCUGUAUUGCAACAAG
rnacentral:lncRNA from 1 species